rfam:Vicugna pacos cont1.87157, whole genome shotgun sequence.
AAAAGAACCAUAUGAAACACAAGAUGGCAAACAUGUAGAAGGAAAAUUAAACUAAUGCCAGCAGCUCAGUUUUGCUUAA